AGUAACGGCGAGUGAAGCGGCAACAGCUCAAAUUUGAAAUCUGGCUUUCGGGCCCGAGUUGUAAUUUGUAGAGGAUACUUUUGAUGCGGUGCCUUCCGAGUUCCCUGGAACGGGACGCCAUAGAGGGUGAGAGCCCCGUCUGGUUGGAUGCCAAAUCUCAGUAAAGUUCCUUCGACGAGUCGAGUUGUUUGGG
rnacentral:rRNA from 1 species